UCCCUGGUGGCCUAGAGGUUAAAGCGUCUGCCUGCAACGCAGGAGACCUGGGUUUGAUCCCUUGGUUGGGAA
rnacentral:tRNA from 1 species